GCCAUCUCGCCUUCCUAUAAACUCUGCUACUUCCUUCCUAAUUGCAGGAAUUCCUCGGGAAUCGCUGUAGGCACCUAGGCCUCCUGGAAUCAAUGAGAGGUAAUGUUUGGCUCUUGCAAUAGCAUCAGCAGGAAAUAUUAAUCCCACAUUAGGAUCUUCUAACAGAAAGGGAGCUUGGCAAAGAGCAACAACCUGACGCGGAAAAGUCAAU
rnacentral:misc_RNA from 1 species